AUGUGCAUGCCAAAAUAUAGAGGAGGCUUGGGAUUCCGGGAUAUGGAGUUAUUCAACCUAGCAUUACUGGCUCGUCAAGCGUGGAGAAUAACACAAGAUCAAGACUCCCUGAGUUCACGCCUACUCAAGGCGGUGUAUUUUUCGGCUAGUGAUUUCAUGCUGCGACCAAUAUGUGCAGCGGCUGCAAACCCACCUGAGAAGGUAGCUGACUUUAUAGUUGCAGCAACAAAAGAAUGGGAUGUUCAGAAGCUAAACACUUAUAUGCUGCCUAUGGACGUCAAGGUGGUACGACAGAUUCCAUUAAGUCACUCAAACUCUCAUGAUUUCUGGGCAUGGCACUACGAUCAACACGGAAUUUUUACGGUGCGAUCUUGUUAUAAGUUUCUCGUUGAUACUAAGUUACAAAGAGAAGCUUGGCUGAGUGGUGACACGGGGAACUCCAAUUUACAGCAGGAGGAGAAGGGUUGGAAGAAGCUAUAGAGCACAAAAGUACCACCAAAGUUACGUAUGUUUGCUUGGAGGUUGGCCAAGGCAUCAUUGCCGACAGGAGAGGUACGUGCACAACUGCAAAUGGCCACCACACCGGUCUGCUCCCUGUGUAACGCAGCAAAUGAUACAUGGAGACAUUCUUUACUGGAUUGUAAUAUGGCAAAAAGUGUGUGGGCGCUGCGGGAUGAUGAUUCUACCCUUCCGAUAUAUGGAGAUGAAACACAAGAUGCGAAGUUAUGGUUAUUCGGGAUGAGCGAGACUCUGUCCAACAAGAAGUUUAUCGAGGUGUUAGUCACUUUGUGGGCUAUAUGGUAUGCCCGGAGGAAAGCAAUUCAUGAGCAUGAAUUCCAAAGUCCAUUGUCGACGCAUCUAUUCAUCAGCAGAUACUUGGAGGAGCUUCAGGUGUUAGAUGUGCAGACCAAGACCGGGCAUGGGGCAGCUCGGGCGGUGCCUCGAUGGGUUCCUCCUCUCACAGGACAUUGCAAGAUCAACGUCGACGGAGCUGUGGCAAAGACGCAAUGCAGAGGGGCUGUUGGGGCCGUAUGCCGGGAUGAACAAGGGCGUUUCCAAGGGGCCUCAGCAGUGGUGUUUGAGGGCAUCUCUGAUGCAGAAACCCUGGAAGCACUUGCAUGUCGAGAAGCACUAGCGUUGAGUGAGGACCUGGACCUGGAAAGAGUACAUAUUGCUACUGACUGUCUGAGAGUCGUCCGGGAAAUCGAAGAACCAAAGAACCUUGGUGGACAUUGUAUGGUGUUUCAUGAGAUCAAAGAACGAAGCAAUUUAUUUAGUGCUUGUCUUUUUAAUCAUGAACAGCGCGAAUGUAAUGGGGAGCCUCAUAGACUAGCACGUAUGGCUACGUCCCUUGAUAUAGGUAGGCAUGUGUGGCUUGAUGCACCACCUGCUGAUUUAUGUAUCCCUGUAAACAUUGAACUUAGGCAAUAA
rnacentral:rRNA from 1 species